UUUUCCAGUCCCCAGGUCACUCACCAUGUCUGGGAGCACUUGGGCCUCUCAAAGCAGAACUCGCCUAGUCUGUUUCCACCCAAGGCAGCCACAGCUUCACUUCCUGCUUACUCCAACUUUCUGCCCGCCUCCUGCCCAUCCCGCGACUCCAGCCGCCCCGGCUCCUGCCACACGUAACUGCAGGUUUCUCCAGGGCCAUCCUGGGUGAGAAGGAAGCACUAAAAUCCUCAGAAAAUGGGGCUGAAGAGAUGGGUCAGCAGGUGCUGAAGAUGACCUUAGGCCGUGGGGGAAGUGUAAACAACGGGGCAAGGCAUCUUAGCAGUGUCACAGGACAGAAGACAAUCGGGAAAUGGCUCAUUACCAGCCCCUCCUUUCCUUCUGGAGUUCAGCAGUCCUCCAUUUCCUUCCAAAGGUCACCUCAGGGCCUGGUGACCCCGAUCAGUUGUCCGAUGGACUAGGAGGGGGCCUGGGUAAAGGGUUUUUCCACCACAUGUGGCUGUCUGCCCGAGAAAACUGCUCUUCUCCGGAUGGAGUUUGUCAAGACAGAACAAUAACAGGGCACCAAGAGAGCAGACAUUCUUUCCACCCCAGAAGAAAGAACAGCGCCAAGGAGGAAGUCUUAGCUCCUCCAACAAAUAAGUCUUUUAUUAUUGUUAAAGGCUUUAAUAAACUAGAAUCCCGGAAUUAUUUUCAGAUAUUUGGGUUUUCCCUUUU